rnacentral:rRNA from 1 species
UACGGAGGAUGCGAGCGUUAUCCGGAUUCAUUGGGUUUAAAGGGUGCGCAGGCGGAAUAAUAAGUCAGUGGUGAAAUCUCCCGGCUCAACCGGGAAACUGCCAUUGAUACUGCUAUUCUUGAGUACAGUUGAAGUGGGCGGAAUGUGUCAUGUAGCGGUGAAAUGCUUAGAUAUGACACAGAACACCGAUAGCGAAGGCAGCUCACUAAGCUGUAACUGACGCUCAUGCACGAAAGCGUGGGGAUCAAACAGG